AAUGAACGCUGGCGGCGCGCCUAAUACAUGCAAGUCGAGCGAGAAGACGUAGCAAUACGUUUGUAGAGCGGCGAACGGGUGAGGAAUACAUGGGUAACCUACCCUCGAGUGGGGAAUAACUAGCCGAAAGGUUAGCUAAUACCGCGUACGCUCCUUGGACUUCGGUUCAGGGAGGAAAGCGAUACCGUGGGUAUCGCGCUCUUGGUUGGGCUCAUGUCCUAUCAGCUUGUUGGNGAGGUACGGCUCACCAGCUUCGACGGGUGGCUGGUCUGAGAGGACGAUCAGCCACACUGGCACUGCGACGA
rnacentral:rRNA from 1 species